CUUUACAUAUAAAGGGGGCCUAGGGUCAUGAUGUAUUGAAGGAGAACAAUCCAGAGGCAGUGUCCACCUUUACAGGGCGACUCAUUAAAGGUGGACAUGCAGUUGGCCAUUGAUUGAGAUCAGUAGCUUUGUUCGAGGGCACUGAACUGAUCUUAAUGCUUAUGUCCAGAUCCGGUAUGUUUUUAGAUCAAAUUAGAGUCCAGAAAGAGCAAAUGCUGGAGUAAAAAUCGAAGUGCAGAUCCAUGUGAAGGAGGAGAGGCUCAGAUGGCUGAGCUCACCGUGAAGGCCUGCAGAAGACUAGGGCCAUCAAUACAGGGAAGUACACAGCUUAAAAAGACCCACAGAGUGAGCCG
rnacentral:lncRNA from 1 species